GGUGAGGUGCUUUCCAGUCCCCACCUGAGGACGGCACAGAGAAAGACUGGAACAGAAAACACACGGAGGAAAGCAGGUUGAACAGCUAGCAGUGUUCUAGCAGUCGGAUCACAUUGGAACAGAAUCCAUCCACACAUGUUUGGAGGAGCUGAAGAAGAGGACGGAGCACACAGUCCACUAAGGAGGAGAAACAUGGCUCCUCUAUUUGUCUCUCCAACAUUCUGGAGUCUAAAAAACGUUGACGACCUCGCAGCUAAACCAUCAGUCUGCUACACCCAGGAGAAGAAGAUAAGGUCAUCUGCUCCUUGGACCGGUGUCUAUGUGAUUGGCUGUGCUUUCUUGGAUUGAAUUCUGUGAAUGCUAUGAUAAACUGUAUUUAUCUUUACCAUAUUGUAAAUAGGAUCCAACCGGAUG